rnacentral:rRNA from 1 species
AUUGAACGCUGGCGGCAUGCCUUACACAUGCAAGUCGAACGGUAACAGGUCUUCGGAUGCUGACGAGUGGCGAACGGGUGAGUAAUACAUCGGAACGUGCCCGAUCGUGGGGGAUAACGAAGCGAAAGCUUUGCUAAUACCGCAUAAGAUCUACGGAUGAAAGCAGGGGACCGCAAGGCCUUGCGCGAACGGAGCGGCCGAUGGCAGAUUAGGUAGUUGGUGGGAUAAAAGCUUACCAAGCCGACGAUCUGUAGCUGGUCUGAGAGGACGACCAGCCCAACUGGGAAUGAGACACGGCCCAGACUCCUACGGGAGGCAGCAGUGGGGAAUUUUGGACAAUGGGCGAAAGCCUGAUCCAGCCAUGCCGCGUGCAGGAUGAAGGCCUUCGGGUUGUAAACUGCUUUUGUACGGAACGAAAAGACUCUUUCUAAUAAAGAGGGUCCAUGACGGUACCGUAAGAAUAAGCACCGGCUAACUACGUGCCAGCCGCCGCCGUAA